CAAGAAAAACGGCUUGUUGAUUCCAGAUUUAUUUGGGGUAGGAAAGUCCGGACACCAUAGAGCAGCAAAACGGAUAACAUCCGUCGGUCGCGAGAUCAGGACCAGUGCAACAGAAAGUAUGUAUAUUCAUUUAUAGUGAAACCAGGUAAACUCUUUGCGGUGCAAUGUUAAGUAUAUCGGAUUUUUUUCAGCAAUGAAAAAUAGGAGUGGCUCGCUCCAAAAACCGAGGGGUAAACAGCUAAAGCUUUUCAGAAAUGUAAAGCGCAGAUAAAUAACAAGCGUUCAAGCAAUUGAAAACAGAAUCCGGCUUAUAGUUUUUCUUGUGGG
rnacentral:RNase_P_RNA from 3 species